AACCCAUGGUGUGGGCAUUGGUUUGUGUAGCUCCUGAAUCUCUCAUAUGCUUCUUGGAAGAUUCUUCUCCCAUAGGCUUGCUUGCAUUGCUCCCAGGUUUGAAUGGAGCCUCUUGGAAGAUUCUUCUCCCAUUGAUGAGCUU
rnacentral:snoRNA from 1 species